GAUGAACGCUGGCGGCGUGCCUAAUACAUGCAAGUCGAGCGAACAGAUGAGGAGCUUGCUCCUCUGACGUUAGCGGCGGACGGGUGAGUAACACGUGGAUAACCUACCUAUAAGACUGGGAUAACUUCGGGAAACCGGAGCUAAUACCGGAUAAUAUAUUGAACCGCAUGGUUCAAUAGUGAAAGACGGUUUUGCUGUCACUUAUAGAUGGAUCCGCGCCGCAUUAGCUAGUUGGUAAGGUAACGGCUUACCAAGGCGACGAUGCGUAGCCGACCUGAGAGGGUGAUCGGCCACACUGGAACUGAGACACGGUCCAGACUCCUAAGGGAGGCAGCAGUAGGGAAUAUUCCGCAAUGGGCGAAAGCCUGACGGAGCAACGCCGCGUGAGUGAUGAAGGUCUUCGGAUCGUAAAACUCUGUUAUUAGGGAAGAACAAAUGUGUAAGUAACUAUGCACGUAUUGACGGUACCUAAUCAGAAAGCCACGGCUAACUACGUG
rnacentral:rRNA from 1 species